GAGGAGCGCGUCAUCUCUGAAGUCACCGAGUGUGUCGCGAGGAAGAGACGCGGCGGUUGAGUUCAAAUUUUUCGAAGAAAAAUACAAGCAGCGAGUGGAGGGAAAUUACAUUUAGAUUUAGUACGCUGUAUUAUUCACGUGCAUUGAAGAUGGAGCAGCCGGAUUUCGGUAAUGACGCAGUAAAAUCUUCAAGAAGAAGACUUUCUUCGAUUUUAAAAGCUCCUCGAACAUCUAUGAAAGUACAUGGGGCUGAGCAAGAGGAACAAAAGGAGGAAAUUGUUAAGCCUGUUGAGAAGAAGAGAAAUUCACGAAGAGUGAGUUUUGCCACCACAAAUAAUGUUCGAGUCUUUAAAAAGUAAGUGC
rnacentral:lncRNA from 1 species